rnacentral:rRNA from 1 species
GAUGAACGCUGGCGGCGUGCCUAAUACAUGCAAGUCGAGCGAACGGACGAGAAGCUUGCUUCUCUGAUGUUAGCGGCGGACGGGUGAGUAACACGUGGAUAACCUACCUAUAAGACUGGGAUAACUUCGGGAAACCGGAGCUAAUACCGGAUAAUAUUUUGAACCGCAUGGUUCAAAAGUGAAAGACGGUCUUGCUGUCACUUAUAGAUGGAUCCGCGCUGCAUUAGCUAGUUGGUAAGGUAACGGCUUACCAAGGCAACGAUGCAUAGCCGACCUGAGAGGGUGAUCGGCCACACUGGAACUGAGACACGGUCCAGACUCCUACGGGAGGCAGCAGUAGGGAAUCUUCCGAAAUGGGCGAAAGCCUGAAGGAGCAACGCCGCGUGAGUGAUGAAGGUCUUCGGAUCGUAAAACUCUGUUAUUAGGGAAGAACAUAUGUGUAAGUAACUGUGCACAUCUUGACGGUACCUAAUCAGAAAGCCACGGCUAACUACGUG